GGCAGGGAGGAGGAGGAUGAUUAUUUAGCUUACAUGAAGGUUUCUGCAAAUGGGUUUUUGAUCUAGAGCUGUGGUUUUGAGGGAAAGGUGGAGUCAGAGCAAGUUGAAGAGGUAUUGGAGGAGGUAGCGGAAGAAGAGCUGGGUAGUAAGUUGGGUACUGGUUAUGGUUAAAGAAACCAAACUGGUUAGAGUAUCGAAACAGGUGAUGCUGAUAUUGAUACUGAUACUGAUGCUUAUGGGUGGAGUUAGUCCUACCCCUGAAAGUCCUAGUCUUAGUGGUGCAUUUCUUGCCAGCAUUGGAUUCUUCUGAGUCUUCCAUC
rnacentral:misc_RNA from 1 species